ensembl:snRNA U6 U6 spliceosomal RNA
GCUCACUUUGGUAACAACAUAUACUAAAAUUGGAAUGAUACAGAGAAGACUAGCAUUGCUCCUGUGCAAAGAUGACAUGUGAAUUCAUGGUAUGUUCCGUAUUUUU